rnacentral:tRNA from 1 species
GACCCUAUAGCUCAACUGGAUAGAGCAUGCGUUUCCUAAACGCCAGAUCCCCGUUCAAGUCGGGGUAGGGUCA